GUCCCGGUGGCGCAAUUGGAUAGCGCGUCGGCCUCCGAAGCCGAAGGUUAGUGGUUCGAAUCCACUCCGGGAUA
rnacentral:tRNA from 2 species